CUUAGAGGAAGUUCGAUUAAAAUCGCUACGUCGCGUAGCAACAUCGAACCAACCCACGUCGUGUGGG
rfam:Pontibacillus yanchengensis Y32 contig2, whole genome shotgun sequence.